rnacentral:lncRNA from 1 species
AUAUGUCGCCGUUGUAGUCUCGGAGUUUUAAUUCUUCCUCCUUUGAUGGAGUCAUCUUGACCAAAGUCUCCAAAAGGUUAGCACCUAAACAUUCAGGAUUACCUGCAAGAGGUGUCAAUUAGAAUCACUCUACCACCAAUAUAUACAUACUCGUGAUUUAUUGAAGAAAAUGCAAAACACCACUUAGACACAGUUCACAAAAAAGAGAUAUGACGGACAUUGUUUACAAGAUGGCAGCUUAUUUCUUAUCUAAAUUUAAAAACAAUAUUAAGAGAUAAUUGUCACAAGAAGAUGAUAAUAAUUAGAUAAUUAGAAUCAUCUUCAUGAACAAAUCAGUCAUCAGAUGACUACAAUAAGGUCCGAAAAAUGCUGGUGAAUAAAAUGGCACAAGAAGCUACAAUAAAGUACAAAGAAUAAAGCACUGUUCUUGUUCUCAACAAGAGCCCAUAUCCAGGGUACUACCAGGCAAACACUUCUAAGAUACUUCUUCUUGAACUCAGAAGCCAGUAUUCCUGGUAAGUAUCAUAUGCAUCCUAAGACGAGAUAAGGAUCACACACUUUGGUUGAAGUGCUGCUGAUGUCUCAGUUUCUUGGAGUUGUAUAUACUUCUUUUUCUUCAAAAAGCAUAACAAACAAGCAGAGGAUCAAAUUAAUUCAAAAUUAAGGCCUAAAAGAACAUAACGAGACCAUUGUAAUUAUUGACUCUAGCAUGACCACACUAAUCAGAGUCCAGCACACAGCUUAUACCAUGAUUUUCGAGCUUCAAAAUUUUGAAUUUAAAAUUUGGGGUGGUUCUAGGUGGCUUGAAUGGAUAUGGUCCAGUCUUAGGUUUUGUGCUGGGGUAGUAUGUUUUUGGGCUGUUUUUAGUCAGGCCAGGCCUUGAUGUUUGGGGUGGAUAUGACCCCUUGCCAUCUCUUUUCCUUCUUCUCCUUUUCUUUUUUCUUUUUAAGUUUUGCUUUCUUUUGUUUCCUCCCUUGUCCUUAGUAAUUUGGUUUGCCGACAUCCUCCAAGAUCCUCCAAAAUAAUCUUGUGCAUGUUCUCAGGUCUAAAUUACUCUGGAUUCUUCCACACUUUCUAUCACUGCUCUACAGGACAAUGGCGUGGUAGAAAAGUUUUCUAGCCUAGGAGUUGAACAAUCUUUGUCUAGUGAAUAUCUUAUUUGGAAAUACAGAAACCUAUAAUUCCAGAGAGCUAUCUUGAUGGGACAUAAUAGGUAUGUGCUCAUUUUGCAGGAUCCAAAGGCUGUCUAAAAUUUUUCUUUGUAUCUCUGAUCCAUGUUAAUGUAUGUUCAUUUUUGAAUCUAUCUUUACAAUUAUCCUAUCCAAGUACUUAAUGUGAAAUACCGGUGGUAUGUGGCUCUCCUUUGGUGGCCUCUUAUCAAAGCUGAGAUUUUUAAAUGAGUUCUAGUGAUAUUCACGUAAAUGGUUUCAUAUGCCUUUCAUCAUUGAGUUUGCUCUUGCAAUUAUCUGAGACAGUUUUGCAGUAGCACAUUCAAAAUGACCAUGAGACUCGCAUUUUUUAUCCUAUCUGCAUGUUUGGUUCC